CCUACGGGAGGCAGCAGUCGGGAAUUUUGGGCAAUGGGCGCAAGCCUGACCCAGCAACGCCGCGUGAAGGAUGAAGCUUUUCGGAGUGUAAACUUCGCAAGAACAGGAAGAAUAAGUUGUGGAUAACACCCACGACGAUGACGGUACUGUUUGUAAGCUCCGGCUAACUCCGUGCCAGCAGCCGCGGUAAUACGGGGGGAGCAAGCGUUGUUCGGAUUUACUGGGCGUAAAGGGUGCGUAGGCGGCACCACAAGUCACUUGUGAAAUCUUUGGGCUUAACCCAAAGCGGCCAAGUGAUACUGUGGAGCUAGAGUGCAGAAGGGGCAACUGGAAUUCUCGGUGUAGCGGUGAAAUGCGUAGAUAUCGAGAGGAACACCUGCGGCGAAGGCGGGUUGCUGGGCUGACACUGACGCUGAGGCACGAAAGCUAGGGGAGCAAAC
rnacentral:rRNA from 1 species